UCCACACCGUCCCAUCACACACUCCCGGGGUCAGGCACAGAGUGAAUCUCCCUCCACACCGUCCCAUCACACACUCCCAGGGUCAGACACAGAGAGGAGCUGUGCUGACUGAGCUGGGAGAAAUCGAAGGAAAACUACUGGAUAAAGUUCGUGGAAUACUUUGGAGGUGGCUCUAAAAGUCUCUUGGACGACUGAAUUACGAGAAGAUGGAAUCCUCAGAGUACUCCAAUGUGUCGGCCGAGGGCACAGUGCAGAUGUCGGAGGAAGAAGCGCUGAGGAUGGAGAGAUGUCGCCUCCUGUUCCUGAGCAAGUUCAAGGGUAGAACCACCGGCAACAGCAGGCUGGCUGAUGUUGUGGUCGCCCUGAGGAACCCACGCUGAACCCAGAGACACAUCUCGAUUUCCCUGGUCCCAAUCUUCCUCCCCGUCUCCAUGACACCCUCUCUCCCUUACACCCUCCCCUGUCUCUGUCACCCCCUCCCCAUCUCUGUCACCCCCUCCCCCAUCUCUGUCACCCCCUCCCCUGUCACCCGCUCCCUCCCCCAAUCUGUCACCCCCUCCCUCCCCCAAUUUGUCACCCCCUCCCUCCCCAUCUGUCACCCCCUCCCUCCCCCAUCUGUCACCCGUUCCCUCCCCCAUCUGUCACCCGUUCCCUCCCCCAUCUGUCACCCCACCCCAUCUCUGCCACCCCACCCCAUCUCUGCCACCCCUUCCCCUAUCUGUCACCCCCCUCCCCGUCUCUGUCACCCCCCUCCCCGUCUCUGUCACCCCCCUCCCCGUCUCUGUCACCCCUCCCCCAUCUC